rnacentral:rRNA from 1 species
GGUAAUCAGGGGCCAGCAGCUGGGGUAAUACGGGGGUGGCGUGAGGUAAGCGGGAUUGCUGGGCGUAAAGAGGGCGCAGGCGGUUUGUUAAGCGAGAUGUGAAAGCCCUGGGCUCAACCUAGGAAUAGCAUUUCGAACUGGCGAACGAGUGUCUUGUAGAGGGGGGUAGAAUUCCAGGUGUAGCGGUGAAAUGCGUAGAGAUCUGGAGGAAUACCGGUGGCGAAGGCGGCCCCCUGGACAAAGACUGACGCUCAUGCACGAAAGCGUGGGGAGCAAACAGGAUUAGAUACCCUUGUAGUC